UACGGAGGAUGCAAGCGUUAUCCGGAAUGAUUGGGCGUAAAGCGUCCGCAGGUGGCUAUGUAAGUCUGCUGUUAAAGCGUCUAGCUCAACUAGAUAAGAGCAGUGGAAACUACAAGGCUAGAGUACGUUCGGGGCAGAGGGAAUUCCUGGUGUAGCGGUGAAAUGCGUAGAGAUCAGGAAGAACACCAGUGGCGAAGGCGCUCUGCUAGGCCGUAACUGACACUGAGGGACGAAAGCUAGGGGAGCGAAUGGG
rnacentral:rRNA from 1 species